rnacentral:tRNA from 1 species
UAGGCAGAGGCCAGUGGGUUAAGGCGUUUAGCUGUUAACUAAAAUUUUACGGGAUCGAAGCCCGUCUGUCUAG